AUGAAUUGCCUAAGUUGGAACUGUCAGGGAGGGGGGAACACCCUGAUAGUUCGCGAGUUAGCAAAGUUAUGUAAGUCGCGUUCCCCCAUGAUUGUUUUUCUGUGUGAAACCAGGAAAAAGGAGGAGAAGAUGAAAAGGAUCCGAGCCAAGCUUGGCCUUAAUGGUUUUUGUGGAGUGGAUAGUGAUGGUUUGAAUGGUGGUUUGGCCUUGUACUGGAGGGAAGAAUGUGUGGUAAACAUUUUGGAAAAGGAUGAUAGAUUCAUUGAUAUAGCUAUCAAAGUCCACGAGGGUGCGCCAGAAUGGAGAUCCACCUUUGUGUAUGGAGAGCCGCGGGUGGAAAACAGACACCUAAUGUGGACUAAGUUAUGGAGACUGAAAACUACUAAUAAUCUACCAUGGUUGGUAAUUGGUGAUUUUAAUGAAGUUAUGUGGGACUUUGAGCACUUUUCGAUCAUGCCAUGA
rnacentral:rRNA from 1 species